GGAAUUUAUCCACUUCUAGGUUGUCCAAUUUGUUGGCAUAUAAUUAUUCAUGAUAGUCUCAUAAUUUCUUUAUGUCUGUGGCAUCAUUGUAAUAUCUUGCCUCUCAUUUCUGAUUUCAUCUAUUUGAGUCUUUUUCCUUUUCUCUUAGUCUGCCUAAGUGUUUGCUGAUUUUGUUUAUCUUUUCCAAAACUAACUCUUAUUGUUGAAUUUUUUCUAUUUUUUCUAUUCUCUAUUUGAUUUAUUUCCUCUCUACUCUUUGGUAUUUCCUUCUUUCUGCUAACUUUGGACUUAAUUUGUUCAUGUUUUUCUCAUUCCUCGAGGUGUAAAGUUAGGUGGUUUAUUUGAGAUCUUUCUUUCGUUUUAAUAUAGGCAUCUAUUGUUAUACCUUCCCUCUUAGUAUUGCCUUUGCUGUAUCCCAUACAUUUUGUUACGUUGUAUUUUCAUUUUUAUUUGUUUUGGGAUACUUUCUAAUUUCUCUUUUGAAUUCUUCUUUGGCCCAAUGGUUGCUCAAGAGUGUUUUGUUUAAUUUCUGUGUAUUUGGGAAUUUUUCCUUUUUCCUUGUGUUACUGACUUCUGGUCUCAUUCCAUUGUGGUUGGAAAAGGAACUUGGAAUGAUUUCAAUCUUCUUAAAUUUGUUAAGACUUCUUUUGUGACCUAGAAUGUGAUCUCUCCUGGAGAAUUUCCUGUGUGUGCUUGAGAAGAAUGUGUGUUCUACUUUUAUUGGGUAGAAUGUUCUGUGUGUGUUAGGUCCACUUACCCUAUAAUGUUCGACACUGCUGUUUCUUUAUUGAUUCUCUGUUUGGAUGAUCUAUCUGCUACCGAAAUCAGGGAGAACUUGUAGACCAACAAGCUGUCUCUUGGUUCUGCACUGUGUGAGCUUGCAAGAGAAGCGAUGCAGGUCAAGUGAAACUACUUUUAUCCUUUUCAAUGCAUUAUUUCUCAUUUCUGUGCUCCAUCAAGAUGGUACUCUCACCUGCAUGCCGGAGCUCUUAUAAAGAAUUGCUUUGGCUAGUCUGGGCGCUUGCAUUUCCAUAUGGAUCGUAAGAUCAGCCUGUCAGUGUCUGCAAAACCCAGCUGGGAUUUUCGUAGAUAUUGCAUUGAAUCUGUAUCUAUUUGGGGAGUGUAGCCAUUUUAACAAUAUUAGCACUUACAAUCUCUGAACUUGGGGUAGUUUUCCAUUUAUUUAAGACUUCAUUCAUUUCUUUCAAUAUUUUAUAGUUUUCUGUGUAUUAUCCUUAUACUUCUCUUGUUAAAUUCAUUCCUAUGCAUUUUAUCCUUUUUGCUACUAUUGCAAGUGAAUCAUUUUCUUAAUUUCAUUUUUUGUUUGUUCAAUGCUAUUGUAAAGAAAUAAAAUUGAUUUCUGCAUAUUCAUUUUGUAUCCUGCUACCUCGCCAAAUGUAUUUAUUAGGUCUAAUUGUGUGCGUGUGUAUGUGUGUGUGUGUUCUGUAGGAUUUUCCAUAUAUAAGAGUAUAUCAUUUGUAAAUAGAGAUUUUAUUCCUUGAAAAUCUGAAUGCCUUUAUUUCUGUUUCUUGCUUAAUUUCUCUGGCUAAAACCUUUAGUGUAACGUUGAGUAGAAGUGGAGACAGUGGGCAUCCUUGUCUUCUUCCUGACCCUAGAGAGAAAGCUUUCAGUUUUUCACUAUUCAACAUGACAGUUGUUGUGGGAUUUUUCUAGAUGCCAUUUAUUAGCUUGAGAAAGUUGUCUUGUAUUCCAAGUUUAUUAAGUGAAACAACAUAUAAAGGGGUUAUGAAAUGGUGUUAGAAUUUUGUCAUUCUUUUUUGUAUCUAUCAAGAUGAUCAUGUAUUUUUUAUUCUUUAUUCUAUGAAUAUGGUGUAUUACAUUGAUCGACUCUUGGAUGUUAAAGCAACCUGGCAGUCCUGGGAUGAAUCUUACUUUUUCAUAAUGUAUACAAAUUUUUCUAUGUUUCUAGAAUGGCUUUGCUAGUGUUUUGUAGAGAAUGUUUGCAUUUUUGUCAUAAGAGAUAUUGAUCUGUGGUUUUAUUGGCUUGUGAUGUUUUUGUCGGGCUAUGGUAUAAGGGUAAUUAAUAUAAAAUAAAUUAGGAGAUAUUUGUUCUUCUAUUUUUAAAAGACUUUGUAAAUGGUGUUAAUGCUUCUUUAAGAAGCCACCUGAUCCUGGGCCUUUCUUUGUGGCAAAUAUAAUGUUGUUGUUAUUAUUAUG
ensembl:lncRNA